rnacentral:rRNA from 1 species
GAUGAACGCUGGCGGCGUGCCUAAUACAUGCAAGUCGAGCGAACGGACGAGAAGCUUGCUUCUCUGAUGUUAGCGGCGGACGGGUGAGUAACACGUGGAUAACCUACCUAUCAGACUGGGAUAACUUCGGGACACCGGAGCUAAUACCGGAUAAUAUUUUGAACCGCAUGGUUCAAAAGUGAAAGACGGUCUUGCUGUCACUUAUAGAUGGAUCCGCGCUGCAUUAGCUAGUUGGUAAGGUAACGGCUUACCAAGGCAACGAUGCAUAGCCGACCUGUGAGGGUGAUAGGCCACACGGGAGCGGGGACGGGGUCCAGGGUACUACGGGAGGCAGCAGUAGGGAAUCUGCCGCAAUGGGCGAAAGCCUGACGGAGCAACGCCGCGUGAGAGAUGAAGAUCUUCGGAUCGUAAAACUCGGUUAUUAGGGAAGAACAGAUGUGUAAGUAACUGUGCAGAGCGUGACGGUACCGAAUCAGAAAGCCACGGCUAACUACGUG